CCCCCACCGCUGCCAUUGAGGAGCAUUUACUCAGUGAGUGGAAGAGGUUUGUUUGAAACAGACCGCAAUGGAGAGACCAGCGUCCGGGGAAGCGAGGGAACAGCAGGCUUCUUCCAGCAGCACAUCGAGAUUUGAGUCCAUGGGGGUUCCGACAGCGGCAUUGAUUCGGGCUCAGUUCAGGGAGAACCGGGGACUGUUUGUAAGAGGCCGAGUGGAGCAGGAACUGGUCCCGUCACUUGGAGCAAAUAUUUGAUGGGCCAGGACAAUAUCAUAUUUCCUCAUUACAGCACCAAGUGUGACCAGCUGCUCCUACCAAACAGCAGGAGCUAUCUUUUCUGUCUUCCUAUUGACAAAACUUGAAGGACCAGGACAAUGUAACAUUUCUUCAGGACAAAGCCGAGUGUGACCAGCUUGUUCUAACAAACAGCAG